CCAAUUCAUCUCAGUAUCUUCUCUCCCAAUGUUGUGAAUUUGACACUUGUCGAUCUUCCUGGGCUGACAAAGGUAGCUGUUGAUGGUCAGCCUGAAAGCAUUGUUCAAGACAUCGAGAACAUGGUCAGAUCGUUUAUUGAGAAGCCCAACUGCAUCAUACUAGCUAUUUCCCCUGCAAAUCAGGAUCUUGCUACAUCUGAUGCCAUUAAGAUCUCUCGUGAAGUUGAUCCAAAAGGAGACAGGAC